ensembl:lncRNA
UUGUUCAUCAAAUCAUACUUUAUUGAAAGUUGUUUUUCCUUGUACUAAAAAUAAAACUAUUACAUUGAGUCAUAACCUGAAAUUGAACAGCAUCAACUAUAAAACUCACUGCUUGGCAAGGUGGAAACUGGCUUCAAAUCAUUCUAAGACGACACAAAACCACAUCUAGUGGGAAACAGACAAAUCCUUGUCAAAACGGCUCUACAUUUCAAGUGUAGAUCAAACUAUUGAAAACUGGCUGAAAACGUUCAUGAGAUUAAACACAAUUCAGGACACUAUCCAAAAUGAAACGAUUAGCACAAAUAUUGGUUACAAACUUCUUAUUUUAUAUUCAGCCAAUUACAUUUUAGAAAAAUAUAUCAAAUAUUUAUUUCAGAAAAAUAUAUUUGCAGACAGGAUUAUCCAUUUCAAAAAAAGGUUAACAAUUAUAUAACUUUAAAAAGUUUUUAACUUAUCAAUAUUACUAUUUACAUUUAUAUUUUCUGGCAGCUUUAGAAAGCAGUCUUGAUACUGGGACAAUACGUAUUUUAUUUCAUUUAAUACAUCCAUUGACAUUAAAGGAGUAUCCACAUUACAGUGUAAAGUUUCAGUAUUACUUGUGGCUUGAUGGCUCCUUCCUUAUGGUUGUGUGUAGACUACACUGUAGUGGUUAUCUUUCCAUUCAAACAGAAUGUUAGUAAGACGGUAUGAAAUCACCAUGUCUACUGUCUGGUUAGUAGCCAUUUCCCCCAUACCCAGUGUUAGGUAGUGUAAACAUGCGAGGCUAUACAUGAAGCAGUACAGUGCUUGUGGUUAAUAACAGCUAGAAAAGGCAAGGCACACUGAUAAAACGGUUCACAGCCACAUACACAAUGACUUGAUCAAGCACUCAAUCAAUCGAUCAUUCUCUUCAUCCUCAAGGAUCCUUCAGUUCUUCAAACGAUCUCUGAUCAUGACGAUAACCGAUCAAUACCCCAUGAUGUGGUUAAUGUGGCCCUGAGAAGAGACUCAUUAUGUGACACAGGUAAUCUUUAUGGAAUUAACCGUUUACAUGAUGGUAGCAUUCCAAAUGGCACCCUCUCCACUAUGUAGUGCACUAUAUAGGGGAACAGGGUAGUGCACUAUGUGGGGAACAGGGUAGUGCACUAUAUGGGGAACAGGGGUAGUGCACUAUGAUGGGGAACAGGGUAGUGCACUAUAUAGGGGAACAGGGUAGUGCACUAUAUGGGGAACAGGGGUAGUGCACUAUAUAGGGGAACAGGGUAGUGCACCACGUGGGGGAACAGGGUAGUGCACCACGUGGGGAACAGGGUAGUGCACCACGUGGGUAACAGGGUAGUGCACUACGUGGGUAACAGGGUAGUGCACCACGUGGGGAACGGGGUAGUGCACUACGUGGGGAACGGGGUAGUGCACCACGUGGGGAACAGGGUAGUGCACUACGUGGGGAACAGGGUAGUGCACUACGUGGGGAACAGGGUAGUGCACCACGUGGGGAACAGGGUAGUGCACUACGUGGGGAACAGGGUAGUGCACUAUAUAGGGAAUAGGGUGCCAUUUGGGACUGAACCCAUGUCAUGUUCAUUAAUCAGUCCCUCCAGCAUUCUGAUGGGAUUUUUGCAGAGCAAACGGCUUGACUUUGCUGCGGCAAUCCUGACAUUUUGCAUGGCUAUGAUUUAGUCCAAUUUGUCGUGAAACUGAGCUGACGGGGGGGAAGAUUUGUUGAUGCGUGGCUUCAUUUAAACACAUUAUGUAGUAAAUGUACUCUGAUUGGUUGAAAUUGCAAGCCCUAUUUUUGUACUGCGGGCGAUGGGCCUGGUUUAUGUGACAACAUUGCGAUGAUUUGACUGUCGCACGUGGAAAGAGUGCAGUGAUUGGUCAAAUGUACAAGUCCCCGCAUAAUACGCAGGGAAUUAUUGAUUUAGCAAUAAAUAAAUACAAAUAAUUGCAGAAACCUGGAGGGACUGAUUAACCCGUUUAACAUGAAAAAGUCCAGAACGUCGACUCGGCCCAAGGUGAGCAUGAACAGCAAAGGGCUCCAUGGUCAAUAUGGUAGGUUCUUUAGCCCGAGGGACAGCCCUUCUAAAAUAGGCAUCUUUUAUUAUGUUGAUUUUAUAGGUGCAACAAUUGUCCCCAAAGUAAGAGACAUAAUAUCCCAUAUUAGUUAUUAGGAAUGUUUGACUAUAUGUGCUAUAGCUGUUAAAUCCCGAUUGCCACUGAUGAGACAUUAGUUUUGGUGUACAAAAUGCUGGGUUUAGGCCUAGACACUGACAUCAGUCACUACUGGGACAUGUUCAGGCAAAACAUCAGGACACUACUUACGGGCUCCCCUGCCAGGCACCGAUUACAACAUUGGCUGCCUUGGACUGCAUAGACCUGUACAAGAGACAACACGAGCCUGGAGGGUUACUACGGCAAUAAGUACACUCGAUUACUUAAUGGAUUGUCAUAUUGUAGUUCUGCAAUAAAACAUUUUUGAGGAUAAACACUGCAUAGAAGACAAGACUAUUCAAAGUAAAACGAAUUAUGACAGAAGGACAAAUCCACAGUGGAGUGAAAAGAUAUUCAAAUAUAAAAUGUCAACAGUGUGGCACUAGCCACAUUCCUUGGGUAAGGAUGAGAUGCAAUUUCCCAAACAGUUAUUGCUUCCUUGACAUCACCAGCAUUGAGGAAAAAAAACUGUCGUAAAGAUAGCCAAGGGUACACCUUAUAGAGAUACAGAUAUUGAGGAAGCAUGUUGUCAUGGAUACGCCUAGUGUCCCUUACUGCUUGACCUAUGAACCUUUAUUACGACUCCAGCGUCAUCAUGAUUCAAGGAGGAAAACAUGGACCGUAAAAACACUCCUGCAAAUGCAUGUGGGAGGCCAACUCCUUUCAAAUAUAGGCCUAGACUGGAGCAACAAAAGUAUCCAAAAUAGUUGAAUAUGCCCCCCAAAAUAUAUAUAUUCCAAAAUAAUUGAAUACGCAUAUCUACCAUGUUAGAAGCUGGGUGGUUGAUGCCGACACCGCUGUUUGGGACACCCUGCUGUUGCAUGCUGGCAUCCAUGGCACCGUCAGUCACCAUCCCGCCAUGUUCAACCCGGACGCAGACUCCCACUCCGUUGCACAGUCGUUUCUGAGGAUUCAG